rnacentral:tRNA from 1 species
AGCACGGUGGCGCAGUGGGUAGCGCUGGUGCCUCACAGCUAAAUGGCCUGGGUUAGAUUCCCGGCUGGGUUG